rnacentral:misc_RNA from 1 species
UUCCGGAAGGAACGACAAAUAAAACUGUGUUU